rnacentral:rRNA from 1 species
UACAGAGGGUGCAAGCGUUGUUCGGAAUCAUUGGGCGUAAAGGGCGUGUAGGCGGUUUGUUAAGUCAUGUGUGAAAUCCCCCGGCUCAACCGAGGAACGACGCAUGAAACUGGCAAGCUAGAGUACCGAAGAGGGGGGUGGAAUUCCCGGUGUAGCGGUGAAAUGUGCAGAUAUCGGGAGGAACACCAAUGGCGAAGGCAGCUCGCUGGGACGGUACUGACGCUGAGGCGCGAAAGCGUGGGGAGCAAACAGG